UGCAAUUAAACAAAGGAGAUGAGAA
rnacentral:piRNA from 1 species